AUAUCUAUUUUUUGUUGCAGGGAUCUCUCAUUCAAUUCUUUUACAGGUGACCUGCCUCAGACUUUGAGCUCACUUUCUAGCAUAAGCACCAUGUAUCUGCAAAACAACCAGUUUACAGGCACCAUUAAUGUCCUUGCUAAUCUGCCUCUGGAAACUCUGAAUGUGGGAAAUAAUCAUUUUACAGGCUGGAUACCAAAACAAUUGAAUAACAUAAACUUGCAGUAAGCAUUGUCAUUAUCGACACUUUUUAUUUUGUUAUAAAUUCUAUAAAUCUUGAAAAUGGUCAAAUUUAAUGACAGAAAGGAUGGUAAUGAUUGGAGCUCAGGACUGCACCCCCACCUCCUCCUGGGACACCUCCAGUAGUACCAAGAAAUCGAAAUCACAAAUAUGGGGGACAUACCCCAUCAGAUACUGGCUCAAGUGACGAUGGAGGAAAAAAAUCUGGUAUUGGAGGUGGUGGCAUUGCUGGAAUAGUAAUCUCCAUCCUGGUUGUUGCGACACUAGUGGCAUUCUUUCUGGUGAAGAAAAGAUCUAAAAAGUCGUCUGAUGAUAUUGAAAAGCUUGACAAUCAACCCUUGGCUCCUCAUACUUCACAUCAUCAUGGUGUGCAUGUUAUUCUCGUAAAAUCAUUUUUAUUCUAUAUCUCAAAUCUGAAAUUUGGGAGGGGGUGAGAGAUCAAAGAUAAAGUAGGGUUUUGGUAAAUAAGUAAAAAAAUAAAAAACUAUAAAGGUUAAAAAAGGAA